UUGUGGAGGAGGACGCCGAAGGUGGGGCUAAUGACUGGGGUGAAGUCGUAACAAGGUAGCCGUACCGGAAGGUGCGGCUGGAUCACCUCCUAACAGGGAGACAACAAAAUGUUUAAUAUUAUAAUUUUGUCACCUUAGGUCGAUCGGUAUCUCACGUUCUUAAUUUGUUAAGAAUUUCAUUUCCUAAGUUUUUCUAGGUCACACCCAUUAUUUUUCCUGGGCCAUUAGCUCAGGUGGUUAGAGCGCACCCCUGAUAAGGGUGAGGUCCCUGGUUCAAGUCCAGGAUGGCCCAUAUCUCUAUGUUGGGGGUAUAGCUCAGUUGGUAGAGCGCCUGCUUUGCAAGCAGGAUGUCAGCGGUUCGAGUCCGCUUACCUCCACUGAUUACCACCUCUUUCAUAACCGGUAGAAAGGAAAUUUUUUGAGUUGUGAUCAUUAUUCUGAACGAAUCUAGCUUCCUAAUGAAAUCAUUAAGAUGCUGGACUCAUUGAAUUAUUUUCAUUGUUUUCAGAGAACCUUGACAACUGCAUAGAUUAUUUUAAAGACAAUAAGCAUCUUUAAUGAUGCAGAUUUAUUAUUUGUGCGAAUGCAUUAAUAACAAUUCUAUUAAGCUGAUGCUUCAAUUUUGAAGUUAUUGGUCAAGCUACAA
rnacentral:misc_RNA from 1 species